rnacentral:rRNA from 1 species
CCUACGGGGUGCUGCAGUGGGGAAUAUUGGACAAUGGGCGAAAGCCUGAUCCAGCCAUGCCGCGUGUGUGAAGAAGGCCUUCGGGUUGUAAAGCACUUUCAGUGGGGAAGAAAGCCUUGGGGCUAAUACCCUCGAGGAAGGACAUCACCCACAGAAGAAGCACCGGCUCAACUCCGUGCCAGCAGCCGCGGUAAUACGGAGGGUGCGAGCGUUAAUCGGAAUUACUGGGCGUAAAGCGCGCGUAGGCGGUCUGAUAAGCCGGUUGGGAAAGCCCCGGGCUCAACCUGGGAACGGCAUCCGGAACUGUCAGGCUAGAGUGCAGGAGAGGAAAGUCGAAUUCCCGGUGUAGCGGUGAAAUGCGUAGAGAUCGGGAGGAAUACCAGUGGCGAAGGCGGUCUUCUGGACUGACACUGACGCUGAGGUGCGAAAGCGUGGGUAGCAAACAGGAUUAGAUACCCUGGUAGUC